UACGUAGGGUGCGAGCGUUGUCCGGAAUUACUGGGCGUAAAGAGCUCGUAGGUGGUUUGUCGCGUUGUUCGUGAAAACUCACAGCUCAACUGUGGGCGUGCGGGCGAUACGGGCAGACUGGAGUACUGCAGGGGAGACUGGAAUUCCUGGUGUAGCGGUGGAAUGCGCAGAUAUCAGGAGGAAUACCGAUGGCGAAGGCAGGUCUCUGGGCUGACACUGACGCUCAUGCACGAAAGCGUGGGGAGCAAACAGG
rnacentral:rRNA from 1 species